CCGCCCACCGUUGCGACCCCUGAAUUCAUUCAUUCUUCAACCGGGGCUCGCCCGUGUCGGGUGUUCGUGACCGUGCCGUUCUCGCGAGUUUACGUGGAAAAAUAUAAACAAAUUGUUGAUCGCCAUUUCUGGACACCAUAACUUAAGAUGAAAUAAAAGCCCUUUCAAAAAUAGUGUUACCAAUAUAAACGUAAAAAAUAAAUAAAAUAUAUUUACAUUUUUAAAAUAAAUCCAUUGACAAUAAACUAGGCCAAAUCGUAGUUUCAAAAAUAGAAUCUAUUUAAAAAAAAAAUUCAUAUUUACUUUAUUAAAAAAAAUAACGGUUAAAAAUCGAACUAGUGAUUGCAAUUAAACAAUUAUUUUUCUAUCGAUUGUUUCGAGUAUCGAUUAUAAUAAAAAAAAAUAUAUCGAUAGUUUCAAAUAUCGAUUACAAAGUAAUAACAAAUUAAAAUUAAAGUGAUAUUUUUGUGGAUAAAAUUUUUGCUAAAAUGAGUAUCGAUUCAAAUUCGUCGGCCAAUAAACGGUUUAAUUUGGAGAGGGCUACUAACUUCAUGAGGCAGUUCCGUGACCCUGAUUCUCGAGAAUUGAAGAAGUUAUCAGCAAACCAGUUCAUGGAGGUCUGGAGCCAUUACGACAGGGACGGUAAUGGCUACAUCGAGGGAACUGAAUUGGAUGGUUUCCUCAAGGAGUUUGUAUCCAGUGCCAACUUCACCGAUAUAAGCCCUGACGUGA